CGGGGUAUAGCGCAGCCUGGUAGCGCACUUGUCUGGGGACAAGUGGUCGUCGGUUCAAAUCCGGCUACCCCGACCA
rnacentral:tRNA from 1 species